GAUAAACGCUGGCGGCGUGCAUGAGACAUGCAAGUCGAACGGACGAUCGAGGCUUGCUUCGAUCGUUAGUGGCGGACGGCUGAGUAACGCGUAGGUGACCUGCCCCGAAGUGGGGAAUAACUGCCCGAAAGGGUGGCUAAUACCGCAUGUGGUGGUGUGUUCAAUCACACCAGUAAAGCCGCAAGGCGCUUCGGGAGGGGCCUGCGUCCGAUUAGCUCGUUGGUGGGGUAACGGCUCACCAAGGCGACGAUCGGUAGGUGGUCUGAGAGGACGAUCACCCAGACUGGGACUGAGACACGGCCCAGACUCCUACGGGAGGCAGCAGUCGGGAAUUUUGCGCAAUGGACGAAAGUCUGACGCAGCAACGCCGCGUGAGGGAUGACGGCC
rnacentral:rRNA from 1 species